GGAAUAUUGGACAAUGGGGGAAACCCUGAUCCAGCAAUGCCGCGUGAGUGAUGAAGGCCUUAGGGUUGUAAAGCUCUUUUACCCGGGAUGAUAAUGCCAGUACCGGGAGCAUAAGCCCCGGCUAACUCCGUGCCAGCAGCCGCGGUAAUACGGAGGGGGCUAGCGCUGUUCGUAAUUACUGGGCGUAAAGCGCACGUAGGCGGCUUUGCAAGUCAGAGGUUAAAGCCCAGGGCUCAACCCUGGAAUUGCCUUUGAGACUGCAUCGCUAGAAUUGUGGAGAGGUAAGUGGAAUUCCGAGUGUAGAGGUGAAAUUCGUAGAUAUUCGGAAGAACACCAGUGGCGAAGGCGACUUACUGGACACAUAUUGACGCUGAGGUGCGAAAGCGUGGGGAGCAAAC
rnacentral:rRNA from 1 species